rnacentral:rRNA from 1 species
UACGAAGGGGGCUAGCGUUGCUCGGAAUCACUGGGCGUAAAGCGCACGUAGGCGGAUCUGCAAGUCGGGGGUGAAAUCCCGAGGCUCAACCUCGGAACUGCCUUCGAUACUGCGGGUCUCGAGUCCGGGAGAGGUGAGUGGAAUUCCUAGUGUAGAGGUGAAAUUCGUAGAUAUUAGGAAGAACACCAGUGGCGAAGGCGGCUCACUGGCCCGGUACUGACGCUGAGGCGCGAAAGCGUGGGGAGCAAACAGG